UACGGAAGGGGCAAGCGUUGUUCGGAAUCAUUGGGCGUAAAGGGCGCGUAGGUGGUUCUGUAUGUCUACCGUGAAAGCGUACAGCUCAACUGUAUUUUGUCGGUAGAAACUGCAGGACUUGAGGCUGGGAGGGGCUGGUGGAAUUCCCUGUCGUAGCGGUGGAAUGCGGCAGAUAUCAGGAGGAACACCAAUAGCGAAGGCAGCUCGCUGGGACGGUACUGACGCUGAGGCGCGAAAGCGUGGGGAGCGAACAGG
rnacentral:rRNA from 1 species